rnacentral:rRNA from 1 species
GCUAACUCCGUGCCAGCAGCCGCGGUAAUACGGAGGAUCCAAGCGUUAUCCGGAAUCAUUGGGUUUAAAGGGUCCGUAGGCGGAUCAAUAAGUCAGUGGUGAAAGUCCACAGCUCAACCGUAGAAUUGCCAUUUAUACUCUUAGUCUUGAGU